ensembl:lncRNA
UUUCUUUUUUUUUUUUUUUUUGAUGAGGAAGAUUGUCCCUGAGCUAACAUCUGUGCUAAUCUUCCUCUACUUUGUGUGUGGGACACCACUAUAGCUUGGCUUGAUGAGUGGUGUGUAGGUCUGUGUCCGGGAUCCGAACCUACGAACCCCAGGCCACUGAAGUGGAGCGCACAAACUUAACCAGUACACCACCAGUCUAGCCCUUACUUUCAUUUUUAAGUAGGUAAAUUUUAGAUGUCCUGAUUUGCUAAAUAAUACCUUACAUCAAAUGCUUUGCCUUGAAAUGUUUCAAAUAAAUUAUUAUAUCCUAGUUACUAGGUUUAAGUGGUGUAAUUUCUUUGGAAGAAUGCUCUGAAAAGUCACGAUCCCCACUAUUUGGAAAGGCAUCCUCUGAAAAGGAUCAUUUUAGUUUAAUUUUAUUUUUUAUGUUUUUAUCUAGAUGAAAUCUUUUUGAAUUGUGAGCAGGGAUUAAAAAUCCAAACAGGCUGCUGUGUUUACGUUAACAAUACAACCCAGCCUUCUUCAUCAGAUCAUAAGAGUGGAAAGAUUAAGACUUAGAGUGUGGAUCUUCAGGAAGAUGAACUAUUUCCUAAGGUCUGACAAGCAGCUCUGUUUUCCAGAGAAUACAGAAUUUCAGUAUGGUCUCCUUAAAAGUUCAGUGACUAUUACAGUUGCAGCAUUUUUAAUCUGUCUUUGGCAUCUUUAUGGAAUAAUUUUCUAAAGGGAUAAUUCUCUACUAAAAAAUAGCAGACCCCGACCAUAUUUAAUGUUCAAAGCAAUACCCUCCAAGAAAGGAAAUACAUUGACUCACACACUUGUUAAAAGUUAAUAAAGAAAUAGCUCAUUUUUAAAGUCAGAAGUUUAUGGUCUCUGUAUCGUCAGUUUAAUUUAAGCAUUGCUGAGACAAUCUUUAAUCUCCUCCCCAUUUUGUAAUACCUUAUUUAUGAUGCAUUUUCAUUUUUUAAUUCGGGGGGAACGUUAGCCCAGCAGAGGCAGCAGAUGAAAGUGCCGAAAGGAGGUCAGAUGGAAACAAAGCUAUUAUCCACUGUAUUUCAGACAGGACCGAGGCACUUAGCUGAAGAGCCACUGGCUUAUUAGAUUAAUUUCAAAAGAGCUUUUACAAGUUACUUAAUUCCAUUUUUUUUUGAAGAACCCAUGGACACAAACUCAAAUUUCUCCUCAAAUGGGGUUAAUUUGACAAAUGAGGCAUGGACCCAGCAUUGUGCAAAAAGCAUUCCACUCUAAUGAGAUCUUGGUCUUUCUUACAAGACUCUGCUAUUUAUGUAAAUAUGUCUAGAGGCACCUUCUAUAAGCUUUUAGUUUUCUAUGAUCUAUUAGUGUUUAUUAAGGAAUCAGAUGCAUAGAAUAACUAGGCAUUCAGGGGGAGUGUUGUGUGGCAGACGUAACACUGAUCUGCUCAGAAGACACAUAGGAACACUUCGAAAGCGUUGUACUGUUUUGUUUGUGAUUAUUCUCAUUGCUUUGAAAGUACACUGCAUAAGAAUAGGCCUUAUAAUAAAUGCUAUGUAUGUCUUCAGUAGUACCAAGCUAAGGCAAUUUGGCGUUCCCCUACUGUGAUUUGUGAUUUUAAACCCAGAAAAUAAAAGCUUUUUGGUAUUGAUUGUUUUUAAUUAAAAACACUCCCAAGUAUAAAUUGAAACUGAUGCCACCCUUGAAGAUUUACUGGCCUGGAGCAUUCAGUUCUGUAUCACUCGUGUCUUUGGGAGCGAGAACACCUGAUGGAAACAGUCACUGCUCAGCUUUCAUCCACAUUUGUAGUUAGGGAGAUUUUCAUAACUUCACAGUUUACAUGAGAAAAUUUUCUGUAUUAGAAGAACGGGGUUGAGACAAUUACAUUUUAGCUCAGUGUGGCCGGGCCUUUUGUUGUAGUCAAAUGGCAAACACACACUCCUUGAAAUGGCUUCUUUUAUUUUCCUUUGUUUUCGUAGACGUAUAAAUUCGAAAAGAAUGCAAUUUAAGAAGUGAUUUCUCACAAAGAGUAAAUAUGCCUUUUGCAAAUCAAUUUUUGUAACAAGUUAUUUAUAUGAUAUUACUUAAUAAACUGGU